GAUGAACGCUGGCGGCGUGCCUAAUACAUGCAAGUCGAGCGAACAGACGAGGAGCUUGCUCCUCUGACGUUAGCGGCGGACGGGUGAGUAUCACGUGGAUAACCUGCCUAUAAGACUGGGAUAACUUCGGGAAACCGGAGCUAAUACCGGAUAAUAUAUUGAACCGCAUGGUUCAAUAGUGAAAGACGGUUUUGCUGUCACUUAUAGAUGGAUCCGCGCCGCAUUAGCUAGUUGGUAAGGUAACGGCUUACCAAGGCAACGAUGCGUAGCCGACCUGAGAGGGUGAUCGGCCACACUGGAACUGAGACACGGUCCAGACUCCUACGGGAGGCAGCAGUAGGGAAUCUUCCGCAAUGGGCGAAAGCCUGACGGAGCAACGCCGCGUGGGUGAUGAAGGUCUUCGGAUCGUAAAACUCUGUUAUUAGGGAAGAACAAAUGUGUAAGUAACUAUGCACGUCUUGACGGUACCUAAUCAGAAAGCCACGGCUAACUACGUG
rnacentral:rRNA from 1 species